rnacentral:rRNA from 1 species
UACGAAGGGUGCAAGCGUUAAUCGGAAUUACUGGGCGUAAAGGGUGCGUAGGCGGUUCGUUAAGUCUGUCGUGAAAUCCCCGGGCUCAACCUGGGAAUGGCGAUGGAUACUGGCGAGCUAGAGUGUGUCAGAGGAUGGUGGAAUUCCCGGUGUAGCGGUGAAAUGCGUAGAGAUCGGGAGGAACAUCAGUGGCGAAGGCGGCCAUCUGGGACAACACUGACGCUGAAGCACGAAAGCUAGGGGAGCGAACGGG